AGCUGAGGAUCUCAUUGCUCAAAAAAUAAUAAUAAUAAAAGGUGAUGAUUUUCUGUUGUUAUUCUUUAAUCGCAACCAGCCAACCAUUUUAUCCGUUCAAUGGAAAACAAGAGACUUCUGAAGUGUAAUCCCUUUUACAGAUAGAUAUCUUUCAAAUUCAAGAACUACCCCAAGGGAUUUCUCUUUCUCUGUUUGAUCAUUGGACUGUAUGCUAGAAUGGCCUCUGAAGGGUAACCAUUUCUCUUCCAUGGAUGAUUCAAAAUAUCCUACAAUAUGUAAAGUUUUGUAUUUUCAAAUGGGCAACAUCC
rnacentral:misc_RNA from 1 species